UUACUCCGUUUUGUUGUGAUUUUGAUAUGAACAACAACAACCAUUCAUAUACGUCACUAGUUUUAAAUAAGAAUUUUUUGUUUGUAUUUAAUCAAUACAAAAUUUUCUAUUGUCUAACUUCAUCAUAUAAAAAUAUUAUUUCUUGCUCAAUAAAAUGUGAGCCUGGACAGCACGUUUUGGUUUCUGGUUCAUGUUGGUAUGUUUUUAUUGGUUCACAUGCUAUUUUAGAAACCUCACAAAGGGUGCUGUACGGGAGCGAGAUACAUGUAUAUCCCAAUGAGGAAGUUCUUGCUCAAUUUGAAAUUUGGACCAGACUGCCCUCUGAAUAUAAACUCUAGCUACAUAGCGUCACUAAGAUACAUGUAUAUAUGUGCACCCGUGCAGAUGUCCAAACAUAAUCAGAGACGUGUGUGCGUGUGCGCGCGUGCGCGCGCGCGUGCGUGCGUGCGUGCGUGUGUGUGUGUGUGUGUGUGUGUGUGUGUGUGUGUGUCGAUAUGAAUUCAAUUGCUCUCUCUCUGAACAUGCACACUUUAUUACAUAAUUUGUGAGUACAUGCAUCUUAAUAGUCAACACUAAUAAAUGAAUACAUUCUAUAGUCGACAUCAUGCUUCGGGCGCACCAUGGUGGUAUAUUUCCUUACAGUGACGGGAUUGUACUAGACCUAUCAUGUGUAUAUACUGGUGUGUUAAUUAAGUGUUGAUUUGCAAUGUUCUGUUGAUAUGCAAAAUGUUGUUGAUUGUCGUGCUGACUUAUAGAACUUAUAAGUUGUCUUACAGCCUACUGUUUUAACGUGUAAUUGUACAAGCCAUGGCCAAAGACCUGGAAUAAGUAGUAAAAUCAAUGUUUUUCUUUUAUUUCCACUGUGCUACUCCGAGACUAUUCAACAUUAUUUUUAUCUAGAGUGUAUGCACGAAUCGCAUAACUACAACUGCUGCAAUUCCAACUCCAGCUACAAACACAACCACAACUCCAAUAACAACUACAACCAACCCAACCACAACUCCAAUAACUGCAACCAACACAACCACAAUAACAACUCCAGCUACAACCACAGCUCCAACUACAACCACCACACCUACAACUACAACCACCACACCUACAACUACAACUACAACCACCACACCUACAACUCCAAUAACAACUACAACCAACACAACCACAAUAACAACUCCAGCUACAACCACAGCUCCAACUACAACCACCACACCUACAACUCCAGCUCCAGCUCGAGCACCAACUAUAACUGCAGCCACAACUUCAGCUCCAUCUACAACUACAAUAUCAAAUCCAGCUACUGCUUCAACUUCAGCUGCGGGAAGAAAACGUCGAUUACUGCAAUCAAAAUAUAGACGUCACAAAAGGAACAAUGGAAAUGCAAACCGACAGACUCGUUUUGUUUUUAAAAAGAUUCGAGUGCUUGACAUAAAAUCAGGAAAUAAAGGCCACCAACAUAACAACUGUGGACUUUCUGUUUGGAUUAUUGCACUGAUCUCAUUUACUUUGUGUUGAAAGUGGGUCUUGUUGUAAAUACCUGCAAUGGAUAACAAGGUUUGUGGUUAUCUAAAAUGCUGGAACCGGUUUUGAUUUAGUACAGCAAUUUGUAAGUGAGAACUGACUCCUGACUUUGACCAAUAUUUUGUCAGUAAUACGAGUACAUGUAUGCUGUUUGAUUGUAUACAAUACAAAUUUAUUCCUUAUCAUGAAUUAAAGAAUUUGACAUCUUA